rnacentral:tRNA from 1 species
AGAAGUUUAGGAUAAAAAGACCAAGAGCCUUCAAAGCCCUAAGUAAGUGCUAUACACUUAACUUCUG